CCUGAUUUGGUCUUCAUGGUUACCCUUACAAAAACACUGACUUUGGUUCUCAAUACAGUAAGUGCUUUUUGUUGGUAGUUUUGCUGA
rnacentral:pre_miRNA from 1 species